CAGGAUUAACGCUGGCGGCGUGCCUAACACAUGCAAGUCGAACGGAAUAUCUUCGGAUAUUUAGUGGCGAACGGGUGAGUAAUGUACAGGUAAUGUGCCUCCGUACCGCGAAUAACAAGCUGAAAAGUUUGCUAAUACGGAAUAGUUUCUUCGAGAGGCAUCUUUUGGAGAAUAAAGAUUUAUCGUGCGGAGAUCAGCCUGUAUCCUAUUAGUUAGUUGGUGGGGUAAUGGCCUACCAAGACGACGAUGGGUAACUGGUCUGAGAGGAUGAGCAGUCACAUUGGAGCUGAGAUACGGUCCAAACUCCUACGGGAGGCAGCAGUGAGGAAUUUUGCGCAAUGGGGGAAACCCUGACGCAGCCAACGCCGCGUGAGUGAUGACGGCCUUCGGGUUGUAAAGCUCUGUCGUGUGUGACGAGUAGGGACGGUAACACACAAGGAAGCCUCGGCUAACUACGUGCCAGCCGCAGC
rnacentral:rRNA from 1 species